rnacentral:rRNA from 1 species
GUGCACAGGCGCGAAACUUCACAAUGUGCGAAAGCACGAUGAGGGAAUCCCAAGUGCUUGCUCGUAAGAGUAAGCUGUUUCUCUGUCUAAAACGCAGAGAGAGUAAGGGCUGGGUAAGACGGGUGCCAGCCGCCGCGGUAAUACCUGCAGCUCGAGUGGUGGCCGCUAUUAUUGGGCCUAAAACGUCCGUAGCCGGUUUAUUAAAUGCCUGGGUAAAUCGGACCGCUUAACGGUUCGAAUUCCGGGUAGACUGAUAAACUUGAGACCGGGAGAAGCUAGAGGUACUCCUGGGGUAGAGGUGAAAAUUCUGUAAUCCUAGGGGGACCACCAGUGGCGAAGGCGUCUAGCUAGAACGGGUCUGACGGUGAGGGACGAAGCCCUGGGGCGC